rnacentral:rRNA from 1 species
GAUGAACGCUGGCGGCGUGCCUAAUACAUGCAAGUCGAGCGAACAGAUGAGGAGCUUGCUCCUCUGACGUUAGCGGCGGACGGGUGAGUAACACGUGGAUAACCUACCUAUAAGACUGGGAUAACUUCGGGAAACCGGAGCUAAUACCGGAUAAUAUAUUGAACCGCAUGGUUCAAUAGUGAAAGACGGUUUUGCUGUCACUUAUAGAUGGAUCCGCGCCGCAUUAGCUAGUUGGUAAGGUAACGGCUUACCAAGGCAACGAUGCGUAGCCGACCUGAGAGGGUGAUCGGCCACACUGGAACUGAGACACGGUCCAGACUCCUACGGGAGGCAGCAGUAGGGAAUCUUCCGCAAUGGGCGAAAGCCUGACGGAGCAACGCCGCGUGAGUGAUGAAGGUCUUCGGAUCGUAAAACUCUGUUAUUAGGGAAGAACAAAUGUGUAAGUAACUAUGCACGUCUUGACGGUACCUAGUCAGAAAGCCACGGCUAACUACGUG